rnacentral:rRNA from 1 species
AAAUUGAAGAGUUUGAUCAUGGCUCAGAUUGAACGCUGGCGGCAGGCCUAACACAUGCAAGUCGAACGGUAACAGGAAACAGCUUGCUGUUUCGCUGACGAGUGGCGGACGGGUGAGUAAUGUCUGGGAAACUGCCUGAUGGAGGGGGAUAACUACUGGAAACGGUAGCUAAUACCGCAUAAUGUCGCAAGACUAAAGAGGGGGACCUUCGGGCCUCUUGCCAUCGGAUGUGCCCAGAUGGGAUUAGCUAGUAGGUGGGGUAACGGCUCACCUAGGCGACGAUCCCUAGCUGGUCUGAGAGGAUGACCAGCCACACUGGAACUGAGACACGGUCCAGACUCCUACGGGAGGCAGCAGUGGGGAAUAUUGCACAAUGGGCGCAAGCCUGAUGCAGCCAUGCCGCGUGUAUGAAGAAGGCCUUCGGGUUGUAAAGUACUUUCAGCGGGGAGGAAGGGAGUAAAGUUAAUACCUUUACUCAUUGACGUUAC